AUGCUCGCUUCUGCAGCACAUAAACUAAAAUUGGAACAAUACAGAGAAGAGCAUGGCCCCUGCGCAAGGGUGACGUGCAAAUUUGUGAAGUUUUCCAUAUUUUU